rnacentral:rRNA from 1 species
GCGAAAUGGCGGCCUGCUUAACACAUGCAAGUCGAACGGUGAACACGGAGCUUGCUCUGUGGGAUCAGUGGCGAACGGGUGAUUAACACGUGAGCAACCUGCCCCUGACUCUGGGAUAAGCGCUGGAAACGGCGUCUAAUACUGGAUACGAGUAGCGACCGCAUGGUCAGUUACUGGAAAGAUUUAUUGGUUGGGGAUGGG